rnacentral:rRNA from 1 species
AGAGUUUGAUCCUGGCUCAGGACGAACGCUGGCGGCGUGCUUAACACAUGCAAGUCGAACGAGGUUAAUUGAAGGAAGUCUUCGGAUGGAAUUUGGUUAACCGAGUGGCGGACGGGUGAGUAACGCGUGAGGAACCUGUCUUCUACAGGGGGAUAACGGUCCGAAAGGAUUGCUAAUACCGCAUAAGACCACGAGGCCGCAUGGCUAUGAGGUCAAAGGAGAAAUCCGGUAGAAGGUGGACUCGCGUCCCAUUAGAUAGUUGGUGAGGUAACGGCCCACCAAGUCGACGAUGGGUAGCCGACCUGAGAGGGUGAUCGGCCACAUUGGAACUGAGAUACGGUCCAGACUCCUACGGGAGGCAGCAGUGGGGAAUAUUGGGCAAUGGGCGAAAGCCUGACCCAGCAACGCCGCGUGAGGGAAGAAGGUCUUCGGGUUGUAAACCUCUGUCCUUGGUGAAAAGGAAGGAUGGUAGCCAAGGAGGAAGCUCCGGCUAACUACGUGCCAGCAGCCGCGGUAAUACGUAGGAGCGAGCGUUGUCCGGAAUGAUUGGGCGUAAAGGGCGUGUAGGCGGCCAAUUAAGUCUGAAGUGAAAUCCCUGGUUUCAAGUCAGGGUCUGCUUUGGAAACUGGUUGGCUUGAGUGCAGGAGAGGCUAUCGGAAUUCCCGGUGUAGCGGUGAAAUGCGUGGAGAUCGGGAGGAACACCAGUGGCGAAGGCGGGUAGCUGGACUGUAACUGACGCUAAGGCGCGAAAGUGUGGGGAGCAAACAGGAUUAGAUACCCUGGUAGUCCACACUGUAAACGAUGAAUGCUAGGUGUAGGGGGUAUCGACCCCUUCUGUGCCGCAGUAAACACAAUAAGCAUUCCGCCUGGGGAGUACGGCCGCAAGGUUGAAACUCAAAGGAAUUGACGGGGGCCCGCACAAGCAGCGGAGCAUGUGGUUUAAUUCGACGCAACGCGAAGAACCUUACCAGGUCUUGACAUCCAAUUAAAGCUGCAGAGAUGCAGUGUGAGCUUGCUCAAAUUGAGACAGGUGGUGCAUGGUUGUCGUCAGCUCGUGUCGUGAGAUGUUGGGUUAAGUCCCGCAACGAGCGCAACCCUUGUUUACAGUUACUAACGUGUUAUGGCGAGGACUCUGUAGAGACUGCCGGGGACAACUCGGAGGAAGGUGGGGACGACGUCAAAUCAUCAUGCCCCUUAUGACCUGGGCUACACACGUGCUACAAUGGCCGUCACAAAGAGGAGCGAGUGCGUAAGUACGAGCAGAUCUCAAAAAAGCGGUCUCAGUUCGGAUUGUGGGCUGCAACCCGCCCACAUGAAGUCGGAGUUGCUAGUAAUCGCGGAUCAGCAUGCCGCGGUGAAUACGUUCCCGGGCCUUGUACACACCGCCCGUCACACCAUGGGAGUUGAUAGCACCCGAAAGUUGUGAGGUAACCGCAAGGAGCCAGCAACCUAAGGUGAGAUGAAUGACUGGGGUGAAGUCGUAACAAGGUAGCCGUAUCGGAAGGUGCGGCUGGAACACCUCCUU